rnacentral:misc_RNA from 1 species
AAGAGUUAGGGUCCUCUGGGCCCGACCUCCCAACCCUUUGUUUACUGAACCUCUGUUGCUUCGGCGGACCCGCCUCACGGCCGCCGGAGGAUCGCCCCCAGGCGUCCUCUGGCCAGCGCCCGCCGACAGCCACUCUCAAGACUCUUGAAUAAAUCAUGUCAUUGUCUAAGUUAUGAUGCAAAUCAAUAAAGCA